rnacentral:rRNA from 1 species
GACGAACGCUGGCGGCGUGCCUAAUACAUGCAAGUAGAACGCUGAAGAGAGGAGCUUGCUCUUCUUGGAUGAGUUGCAAACGGGUGAGUAACGCGUAGGUAACCUGCCUGGUAGCGGGGGAUAACUAUUGGAAACGAUAGCUAAUACCGCAUGAAAUUGCUUAUCGCAUGAUAAUUAAUUGAAAGAUGCAAUUGCAUCACUACCAGAUGGACCUGCGUUGUAUUAGCUAGUUGGUGAGGUAACGGCUCACCAAGGCGACGAUACAUAGCCGACCUGAGAGGGUGAUCCGCCACACUGGGACUGAGACACGGCCCAGACUCCUGCGGGAGGCAGCAGUAGGGAAUCUUCGGCAAUGGGGGGAACCCUGACCGAGCAACGCCGCGUGAGUGAAGAAGGUUUUCGGAUCGUAAAGCUCUGUUGUAAGAGAAGAACGGGUGUGAGAGUGGAAAGUUCACACUGUGACGGUAUCUUACCAGAAAGGGACGGCUAACUACGUGCCAGCCGCCGCAGUAAAAC